UACGUAGGGUGCGAGCGUUGUCCGGAAUUAUUGGGCGUAAAGAGCUUGUAAGCGGUUUGUCGCGUCUGCCGUGAAAAUUCGAGGCUAACCUCGAACUUGCGGUGGGUACGGGCAGACUAGAGUGUGGUAGGGGAGACUGGAAUUCCUGGUGUAGCGGUGAAAUGCGCAGAUAUCAGGAGGAACACCGAUGGCGAAGGCAGGUCUCUGGGCCACUACUGACGCUGAGAAGCGAAAGCAUGGGGAGCGAACAGG
rnacentral:rRNA from 1 species